AUCCCGCAGCCCGACUUGAGUGGAGCUCUUUUUUGCAUUGGGAAAAGCCUUGGCAAAAAAAGCGGGAACGGAAGGCGGAAAUAGCU
rnacentral:sRNA from 1 species